CUCUUCGGAGUGAGCGGCGGACGGGUUAGUAACGCGUGGGAACGUGCCCUUCUCUAAGGAAUAGCCUCGGGAAACUGAGAGUAAUACCUUAUACGCCCUUCGGGGGAAAGAUUUAUCGGAGAAGGAUCGGCCCGCGUUAGAUUAGAUAGUUGGUGGGGUAAUGGCCUACCAAGUCUACGAUCUAUAGCUGGUUUUAGAGGAUGAUCAGCAACACUGGGACUGAGACACGGCCCAGACUCCUACGGGAGGCAGCAGUGGGGAAUCUUGGACAAUGGGCGCAAGCCUGAUCCAGCCAUGCCGCGUGAGUGAUGAAGGCCUUAGGGUCGUAAAGCUCUUUCGCCAGAGAUGAUAAUGACAGUAUCUGGUAAAGAAACCCCGGCUAACUCCGUGCCAGCAGCCGCGGUAAUACGGAGGGGGUUAGCGUUGUUCGGAAUUACUGGGCGUAAAGCGCACGUAGGCGGAUCAGAAAGUAUAGGGUGAAAUCCCAGGGCUCAACCCUGGAACUGCCUUAUAAACUCCUGGUCUUGAGUUCGAGAGAGGUAAGUGGAAUUCCGAGUGUAGAGGUGAAAUUCGUAGAUAUUCGGAGGAACACCAGUGGCGAAGGCGGCUUACUGGCUCGAUACUGACGCUGAGGUGCGAAAGUGUGGGGAGCAAACAGGAUUAGAUACCCUGGUAGUCCACACCGUAAACGAUGAAUGCCAGACGUCAGCAAGCAUGCUUGUUGGUGUCACACCUAACGGAUUAAGCAUUCCGCCUGGGGAGUACGGUCGCAAGAUUAAACUCAAAGGAAU
rnacentral:rRNA from 1 species